rnacentral:rRNA from 1 species
CACAUGCUAUCGGAUGCGCCUACGUGGGAUUAGCUAGUUGGUGAGGUAAUGGCUCACCAAGGCGAUGAUCCCUAGCUGGUUUGAGAGGAUGAUCAGCCACACUGGAACUGAGACACGGUCCAGACUCCUACGGGAGGCAGCAGUGGGAAUAUUGGACAAUGGGCGCAAGCCUGAUCCAGCCAUGCCGCGUGUGUGAAGAAGGCCUUCGGGUUGUAAAGCACUUUCAGUUGGGAGGAAGGGUUGCGUGUUAAUAGUACACAGCCUUGACGUUACCAACAGAAGAAGCACCGGCUAACUCUGUGCCAGCAGCCGCGGUAAUACAGAGGGUGCAAGCGUUAAUCGGAAUUACUGGGCGUAAAGCGCACGUAGGCGGUUUUUUAAGUCAGAUGUGAAAGCCCCGGGCUUAACCUGGGAAUUGCAUUUGAAACUGGAAAACUAGAGUGUGUGAGAGGAGGGUAGAAUUCCAAGUGUAGCGGUGAAAUGUGUAGAGAUUUGGANGNGAAUACCAGUGGCGAAGGCGGCCCCCUGGCACAACACUGACGCUCAGGUGCGAAAGCGUGGGGAGCAAACAGGAUUAGAUACCCUGGUAGUCCACGCCGUAAACGAUGUCUACUAGCUGUUCGUGACCUUGUGUCGUGAGUAGCGCAGCUAACGCACUAAGUAGACCGCCUGGGGAGUACGGNUCGCAAGAUUAAAACUCAAAUGAAUUGACGGGGGCCCGCACAAGCGGUGGAGCAUGUGGUUUAAUUCGACGCAACGCGAAGAACCUUACCUACUCUUGACAUCCAGAGAAGACUGCAGAGAUGCGGUUGUGCCUUCGGGAACUCUGAGACAGGUGCUGCAUGGCUGUCGUCAGCUCGUGUUGUGAAAUGUUGGGUUAAGUCCCGCAACGAGCGCAACCCUUAUCCUUAGUUGCCAGCACGUAAUGGUGGGAACUCUAUGGAGACUGCCGGUGAUAAACCGGAGGAGGGUGGGGACGACGUCAAGUCAUCAUGGCCCUUACGAGUAGGGCUACACACGUGCUACAAUGGUAUGUACAGAGGGAGGCAAGCUGGCGACAGUGAGCGGAUCUCUUAAAGCAUAUCGUAGUCCGGAUCGCAGUCUGCAACUCGACUGCGUGAAGUCGGAAUCGCUAGUAAUCGCAAAUCAGAAUGUUGCGGUGAAUA